rnacentral:lncRNA from 1 species
CUUAUGCUUGACUUGAUAAGUGUUGGACUUAUGGGUUGUUCGAGUAUUGGGCUGUCAGAGCAAUGGAUUGUCGGACUAUUGGGUUGUUGGACUAAUGGGUUGUCGGACCAAUGGGCUGUCGGACUAAUGGGCUGUCGGACCAAUGGGCUUUCGGACUAAUGGGCUGUCGGACCAAUGAGCUGUCGGACUAAUGGGCUGUCGGACCAAUGGGCUGUCGGACUAAUGGGCUGUCGGACUGAAUAUAAAAUUGAGAAAGGAAAUGGUGAAUAUGUCAAAGCGACAACCACCCGACCAUAGAGCAAACAACAGCCGAAGGCAACCAAUGGGUCUUCAAUGUAGCGAGAAUUCCCGCACCCGUAGGUGUCCUUCAGCUGGCCCCUAAAAUAUGCAUAAUAGUACAGUGAUAAUGGACGUCAUACUAAACUCCAAAUUAUACACAAGAAACUAAAAAUUAAAAUCAUACAAGACUAACAAAGGCCAGAGGCUCCUGACUUGGGACAGGCGCAAAAUUGCGGCGGGGUUAAACAUGUUUAUGAGAUCUCAACCCUCCCCCUAUACCUCUAGCCAAUGUAGAAAAGUAAAAGAAUAACAAUACGCACAUUAAAAUU